rnacentral:lncRNA from 1 species
UUGGGAAUAGUGUCCCAAAGCCAAUCGUCAGCCUGUUGACGGUUGUGCUCCUUUUGUAUUAGUACAUGAAUUAUAAAUAAAUAAAAGUUAUUUUGAUAUUUUUUCAUCACAAAUAUUUCAUCUUCUAAUGAACUCCUGUGUUGUGGUGAAGUCUUUAAGACUAUUUAGACUCGACAAAGGAGGAUUUGUCGUUUAGUCCUUAAACAUGUUCGCGACCAAAUGAUACGUUGUUACCAAGAAUGACAAUAUUUAUCGAGCAUAGGUCGUUGUGUGCCAUAUGGGUUGGUUGUCCUCAUAACCAAAGAGUGUGGAGACACUGGUAUGGCAUACAGGUGAGAUGUAAUGGUACAUCUGCACUGAACGUGACCAACUCCGGAGCUAUUUUUGCUGUCAAGAUUUGCUCCGAUGGGAUAUGGGUAUAAAUAUCCCUCCGACCUGAGACCGCCACGGUG